GAUGAACGCUGGCGGCGUGCCUAAUACAUGCAAGUCGAGCGAACGGACGAGAAGCUUGCUUUUCUGAUGUUAGCGGCGGACGGGUGAGUAACACGUGGAUAACCUACCUAUAAGACUGGGAUAACUUCGGGAAACCGGAGCUAAUACCGGAUAAUAUUUUGAACCGCAUGGUUCAAAAGUGAAAGACGGUCUUGCUGUCACUUAUAGAUGGAUCCGCGCUGCAUUAGCUAGUUGGUAAGGUAACGGCUUACCAAGGCAACGAUGCAUAGCCGACCUGAGAGGGUGAUCGGCCACACUGGAACUGAUACACGGUCCAGACUCCUACGGGAGGCAGCAGUAGGGAAUCUUCCGCAAUGGGCGAAAGCCUGACGGAGCAACGCCGCGUGAGAGAUGAAGGUCUUCGGAUCGUAAAACUCUGUUAUUAGGGAAGAACAUAUGUGUAAGUAACUGUGCACAUCUUGACGGUACCUAAUCAGAAAGCCACGGCUAACUACGUG
rnacentral:rRNA from 1 species